UACGGAAAGUAUACCAAUAGAGACCUAUGAAUCUUGUCAGGUCCGGAAGGAAGCAGCAAUAAGUAGUAAAUCUUUAUGUGGAGAUACUUUCCGUAGAG
rnacentral:SRP_RNA from 1 species